rnacentral:lncRNA from 1 species
UCGAUCAGUUUCGUCGUUUGUCUGAUCGUUACCAACAAUCUCCAUUAAAACAUCGUUGUUUUCUUUGGUCACCGCGUCUCCGACAAGAUUCUCUGUCUCUGAGCCAUCCGCGACAAACUGUAUGAUAGUGAGGUGAAUUUGAGAGUUAUUGAUAAGCCACUGGCACAAGGACAGAGCCUCACGAUCAUCAGGACCACCAAAGAACAAUGCAGCGACGUGUUGCACCGACUCAAACCCGUGAAGCUGGCGAAACCCUGUUAUGUUUCUAUCCACAAAGAUACCGAUCGAACACUGUGCUUGCUUUAGCACCUUCCGGUUCAUAUCCCGAAAAGCUUCCCCGUCGUUUGUAGUUUUCCCAUCGAUCCUCUGGUGUUUAUGGAACGGAAGAAACACGAUGGAGACGCGAAGAUCUUCGCUCCCGUUACAGAUCUCUUCGUGCAUGUUCUGCAUCAGCGCUACUCGUUUCACUUGCCGGAUCAUGACCUUUCUGUCUCUAGUGAAUGAAUCAAUCGAGUCAUUGAUCUCUAGUCCUUCGUUGGUUCCAAACUCAUCGUCUCCUCCAGUGGAGUUCACUCCAUCUACGUCUAGUUCGUGGUACAGUAGUUCAGUUUUUCGCUUCUUGGAGAGGGGUAUGAGGUGCAUGAGAUAAGGUGUGAAAGGUGAAGAAGAAGCUCCAUUUAGAGCAGAGAUUAGAGAGAUUAGUCCACGAGCUUGACGUACACCGUAGACGCAAGUCAGCACACGUAGCUCCUCUUUGGUAUCGUGGAACUCAAGCGAUGUUUUUCGGUGUGAGAAACCCUUUUCUUGCGUUCUAAGUAAUAAAGAAGAUAUUACUCCGCUUAACAAAGUCGUGAUCACCAGUGUCGCAAUGAGCAUAUCAUGAAUUAUCGGAGUAAACCAUUUCUACAAAGAGAGAAAAAAAUAAUCAGAAAACAAAGAGAAGAUUAUUAUCUGACUUGUUACUAUUAUAAUGUAAAAAAAAAACUAUUUAAAAAAAAACUAUAAUGUAUCAAAUCUCAUAAAUAACACCUUUUUAAAAAAUAACACUAAUUACUUUUGUCAUAAAAAUAGCAAUCAAAGAGAAAAAAUCCUAAAAUAUUAAUAUUUAUUAAUUAAUAAAACACUAAAAUAUCUUAUGUUGUGAAUUCUAAUAAGAAUCUCACAUUCUAAAUACUAAACCCUAACCUAUAAUCAAAAACUCAAAUUAAAACAUAAAAAUGUCUUGUUAAUUUUAAAUUAAUGCUAUUUUGGUAAUUUUCUCCUUUGUAAACUAGUUUUUGAACAAAAAACUUGAUUACUGAUAUUUAAAGAUAUUAUCUCUAAAAUGUAGUUACCUUGUAGGUCAAGUUUGAGUCGAGGAGGACCAGACCAAUAUGACCUUUUACUGAGAGAAUCGUAGACAAGAAAAGCCAAUACUUCUUUGGGAUCUUAAGGAAUAAACAUGCACAUAAGACUCCUAGAAGCUUCGCUACCAUGCUUAAAGCCACUAUCGUACAGAGGACUAGGUAAUGACGUUUGGUUAGAGAGUGGACGCUGAAUCUAAACCCGAUGUAACCAAAGUAAACCGGAAGAACAAACUCGUGAAUCGGGUAACUCAGCCGGUUGAUCAUCGUUCUGUAAGUUUUACCUUCUCUUGGAAACAUUAGUCCAAUCAAGAACACGAAACCAGUUGAGUUUAUGUUGCUGGACUCAAUGGUUAACGCAAUUAUUAGAAUAAGGAUGAAAAAAGCGAGCGUUUCAGCUUUGGAGAGGUACUUCUCUUUAGGGUUUCUUUUGGGGAGCCAUGAAGCUAAGAAUCUAUUGAUGAAAAUUAUAACAACCGUGGCAAAUGUGUAGGCAAAGAUGUCUCCUGUCAUUUUCCCGGAGAUGUAAGCAAUGACCAUAGUGUAGAUGAAAAUGUUGGUCAUCUCGAUGAACAAUCCGCAGGAUAUCGCUAGCCUUCCGAUCUCAGAUGUGUGGAGUUUCCAGUCAAUGAUUGAGCGGAUGACCACAGCCCACCACAAACAGUGAAUACAUCUCUCCUAUCUCUCUCAGAAUCGUCAGUGUUUGCUCUCCGUUGCUUACUCGCUUCUCUAUGAAUCCAACUUGCCCCGUCGUUACAAAUCUGCCAAAAAUAAACCAAAACCAGUUCGGUCAAUGAAAAAAAUGCCAAUGUUUCAGGUCUAGAAAUUAUCCACAACCCUAGUACUAAAGAUCUGAAAUUUAUGAGGGCGAUAAACAUUAUUAGGUUAAUUGUAACAAAAAAUAUUUAUAAUUUUUGGGCCAUGCAACAAAUACAUAAUAUUUCCUUAAAAUUUGGAUUGUAAGAUUAAUGUUUCAUCCGAUUGUGCUCAAAACCUUUCAUGAACUGGCUAAAGCUGGAAACAUAGGAUUAGUAAGAAGUAGAAUCUUGUAAAUUACCUGUUAUAGUAUUCCUCUAAGAAACUUCGAUCAGUUUCGUCGUUUGUCUGAUCGUUACCAACAAUCUCCAUUAAAACAUCGUUGUUUUCUUUGGUCACCGCGUCUCCGACAAGAUUCUCUGUCUCUGAGCCAUCCGCGACAAACUGUAUGAUAGUGAGGUGAAUUUGAGAGUUAUUGAUAAGCCACUGGCACAAGGACAGAGCCUCACGAUCAUCAGGACCACCAAAGAACAAUGCAGCGACGUGUUGCACCGACUCAAACCCGUGAAGCUGGCGAAACCCUGUUAUGUUUCUAUCCACAAAG